rnacentral:rRNA from 1 species
CCUACGGGCGGCAGCAGUGGGGAAUAUUGGACAAUGGGGGGAACCCUGAUCCAGCCAUGCCGCGUGUGUGAAGAAGGCCCUCGGGUUGUAAAGCACUUUCAGUGAGGAAGAACGCCUGGUGGUUAAUACCCAUCAGGAAAGACAUCACUCACAGAAGAAGCACCGGCUAACUCCGUGCCAGCAGCCGCGGUAAUACGGAGGGUGCGAGCGUUAAUCGGAAUUACUGGGCGUAAAGCGCGCGUAGGUGGCUUGAUAAGCCGGUUGUGAAAGCCCCGGGCUCAACCUGGGAACGGCAUCCGGAACUGUCAAGCUAGAGUGCAGGAGAGGAAGGUAGAAUUCCCGGUGUAGCGGUGAAAUGCGUAGAGAUUGGGAGGAAUACCAGUGGCGAAGGCGGCCUUCUGGACUGACACUGACACUGAGGUGCGAAAGCGUGGGUAGCAAACAGGAUUAGAUACCCUGGUAGUC